ensembl:lncRNA
AAUCUGGGGGCCCGGGCCGGGGGCCGGCCGAGCUGGGUUGCGCCGGCCCGGCACUGGAGACCCGCGGCGGGUCCGGGGAGCGGCUCGCGGACUGGUUCCUCUGCCUGCCCCACCACGUGGGCGGCUGCGGGCGGCGGCCAGGGCGCGUGCUCGGUGCGGGGCUGCGGGGGCCCCCGGAGGCCAAGGGGGCGUGCCGGGGGGCCCCCGGAGGAUGCGCUCGAGGCCUGGGGCCGAAGUCUCCCGGCCGGGCUCUCGGCACGCGGACACGCCGCGCCCGAUCGCCGAGCGGCCACUGCGGGAGCCCACCCGCACCUGCUCGCGUCCUUCCGGGCGCGUCUGUCUUCCCUCCUUUGCUCCGUAAAGGACUGGAAACUAGCGCCCGCCCGGUCUCCUCCGUGGUUUUCUUGAAGGUGCCCGAGGAGGGGUUUCCCCAAAGAGAGCCUGCCCCUGGACUGCCAUCUAAUGAAUAAAUGCUGCGGAAACCAGGUCCUUAAAGCGGGAAACAGCCCAGCGAGAUCUAGAGAGAGGAGUUUGAAAUACGUGGACUUUUAAACAUAGUGAUUGGACCACGUGUCGCCUUUAAUGUGGUCCGGCUUCAUGACUCAGGCUAAUUGAUGUCAACAGUAAAUAAAAAGAAGAUGGCUAAUAAGAAUUGUGGAUGUCGAGAUGUAGAAGUGUUUGUCUCAUAAAUAAUCAGGCUGUCUGGCUCUGCUUGCAGCACUGCCUUGUGUGGGAAAGAGCUCAGCAUAAGAAGGAGGCAGAGGCUGGAUCCACACCUACUGGGCGAACUGUCCAAAGAAGCACUGAAUUAACAGAGGCCGGCAUGCUCCUCCUUAUUUCCUGCCACUUCGAGAUACUUCAGAUCUUCUCUAUCUCCUCCCCAGACCUAGAAGCAAUCAUUUCUCCAAGAGGUCUGGUUCCUUCUGUUGGAGAAUUCUAUCAGAAACCAAAAUCUAGGCACUGGGUGCACGUGUUGCUACUGGGGUGUCAUUGCUUCCAGGCCCCCUCAGUUGACAGAACAAGGAAAUAUAUGUGUGUGUACCAACUUGGGUAUUCACAUGGACUGGGUCUAGAUUAAACCAAGCAAGAACUAAUAGUAAAGUCUCAUACUGAAUCGCCAGAUCGAGUCCAUUAGCACAUGGGUCACUCUGACCUCCUGCCCUGCUCCAGCAGUGACGGACCUGGCUCUCACCAUCUGCCAUCCAUCUAUUCACUGUUCCAUUUAUAAUUUAUUUUUUAAAUGAAA